rnacentral:tRNA from 1 species
GCCGGUGUAGCUCAGUUGGUCAGAGCACGUGAUUUGUAAUCUCGGGGUCGUGGGUUCGAAUCCCUCUACCGGCU